rnacentral:rRNA from 1 species
UAACUGGAGAGUUUGAUCCUGGCUCAGAGCGAACGCUAGCGGCGUGCCUAACACAUGCAAGUCGCGCGAGAAAUCCCGCUUCGGCGGGAGAGUAAAGCGGCGCACGGGUGAGUAACGCGUGGGUAAUCCACCCCCGAGACCGGAAUAACCCGCCGAAAGGCGGGCUAAUGCCGGAUAAGACCACGGGACUCAUGUUCUGCGGUCAAAGGUGGGGAUCCUUCGGGACCUACCGCUCGGGGACGAGCCCGCGUCCCAUCAGCUUGUUGGUGAGGUAACGGCUCACCAAGGCCGAGACGGGUAGCUGGUCUGAGAGGACGAUCAGCCACACUGGCACUGGAACACGGGCCAGACUCCUACGGGAGGCAGCAGUGAGGAAUAUUGCGCAAUGGGCGAAAGCCUGACGCAGCGACGCCGCGUGAGGGAAGAAGGCUU